rnacentral:lncRNA from 1 species
UCCCUCCUCCCCUCCCCCCCCUUCCCAAGCUGAGAUAACAUGGCCUUCCUUUCGCUCUGCAUGUGAUCAAGCUACCAGCUAAUUCUACCAAUAUUUUUAUUACUACUACUACUGUUGCUCUUUUUUAAAACACGGAGUUUCCUUCCAAAGCAGUGCCUAAACUUUAACCAAAAAGACUACACUAAUAUAUUAAUAUAUAUGAUGGUUCUGACAGUAUUUGUAUAUUGAGAGAGAGAGAGAGAGAAUGCGGGCGCAUCAAGUGCUCCCCACGCCGCUUCAGGCCCCCUGAAACCUGCCCCUUUCCUCCCCACCCUGCCCUCACCCCUGCCAGCCCACUGCCACCGCUUGGCACCAAGCCUUUCAGCCCUCCUCCUCCUCCUCCUCCUCUUCUUCACUCGUCCUUUCUGUGGUGCCUCCAGAUCACCUGCCUAUGCAAAGACUGUCUGUGCCUCCACCAGGGCCGGCUGGUGGGAGCAUCUCCUGCACAUCUGCCCUCCCGGCUCCUUCCACCAGGGCCUCGGCUGCUCUCUUCACUGGCCUUCCACCAUGGGACGGGCACAAGACUCUCCUGGGCGCUGCUCCACUGACCUCCUGGCUGGCUGCCCUCCACACCUGGGGCGACUCUGCGCUUGGACCACCGUUUCUCCUAGGCCCACCAAAGGCGACCUCUUGACCCUGCAGGAACUCCUCAGCAGGUUCUCCGGAGCUAGCAAGUCCACUGUCGGCCACCUGGGAGACCCGCAUUGGUCGGCUCCUCAAGAGUGUUGCUGGAUGUCAUCCCAACUCCUUCCCGGCUGCCGUGGAUCUCGUGCCCCCGGUUGAGCCUCCCGCCACUUCCCUUUGCAGCCCACCAGCGUGGACUAGUUAGCAGUGGCCAGGAGAGGGCCGCUCCCUAAGGCUGACCCUUCCACCCAUCACCAGCAAGCCAGCCCCUCCUUGGGUGGGGCUGUUCUUCACCCUGGAGUCCCAGGACUGUCCUGGCAAGGCCUGCCAGGCCUGGCUAGCAACCGUCCUUGUGCUGUCGGCAGGAGGCCGGCCUGGAAAGGCCGCGGUGGCCAUGCUGAGAGCAGCCUCUGCCCGUCUCUGCCCCCCCCCCCCCCCCCCCCCCCCCCCCCCCCCCCCCGGCCUGCCGGGCGGCCUGUGCCCGGGGCUCACCUUGUUCCAGAUUAGCCUUUCCAGACUCCUCUCUAGCGGGUGGGGGCAGGAAAACACUACACCCCGACUUGUAAAUAGCUUGAAGUGUCUGUAAAAACCUGCCGUAGGGCCCCUCGGCUGGGAGAGCAGUAAAGGCGAUUCAAUGAAACGGCUGUGUGUGGUUUGUUCCCCUCCCACUUCCUGGCCCUCUCUUG